AGGCACUGUACUAGGUAUAAUGUCAUCUAGACAUGAUUUAAGGUAGGAGUAUGUUGCUAGUUUAUGUGCAAAUGCUAUGUUGUUUUACAUAAGGGGCUUCAGCAGCCACUGAUUUUGGUAUCCACAGGGGUUCCUGGAUCCAAUCCUCUGGAUACCAAGGCAGGACUGUAUUGCCUAUUUGUGAAAAUGGAGGGCCAGCACACACCGCCCCUGCUGGACGGAGGCUACAGGAGGAGCCCGACGAAGGAGCUCCUGAGCACACACAGGAGCGGGCAAUGCUGAGAACCUUGUCCCCACUCUCCGGGACACUCGCUUGGUGUCGGUGAUCACAGUCUACUUCUUGGGUCACACUGCUGCAGAAUGGCUCAGCUGCCCUCCAUCUGGAGCAGAGCUGUUAUCUGGAUGGCCUUCAUCAUCCUCCCAGGGAUUCCAUCUCAUCUCAUACACUGAGGUCCUGUCUCCUAUCUGUGUCUUUUUUCUGGGUCCCCUUUUCUUGUUUUGAUGGGACUUACACCCUUCUGAGGAAAGGUGCUUGACAGGUGCUGUGGUCUGAAUGUCCUCACCAACACGCAUGUUGAAAUUUACUUCCCGUUGUCAAGUAUUAGAAGGGUAGAAACUCAAUCCAACUGUAGUAUUUAGAGGUUCAAGAAAGCCAUAAGAAUGGGGCCAUAAUCCAACAGGAGGUAACUUUAUAAAAGGAAGAAAGACCUAAGCCAGGAUGUCCUGUUUCUCCCACCAUGUGGUUCUCUGCAUGGCUCUGGGAAGAGUCCACACCAGCAAGGACUUCACUAGAUCAGCAGCCCAAUCUUGAACUUCCAGCAUUCAGAACCUCAGUUCAUUCAGCCUGCUGUGACAAAAUACAAUGUCACUAACUAGGCAAUAUAAAAAUAAACAAUGUAUUUGUUGCUAUUUUGGAAGUUGGGAAGCCCAAGAUCAAGGAACCUGAGGAGCUGGUGCCAGGGGAGGACCACUUCCAGGUUCACACAUGGAGGUCUUCUUUUGUGUCCUCUCACAUAGUGGCAAAAUGAGGGAGCUUGCUGGGCCUCUUUUAUAAGGGCACCAACCCCAUUCACGAGGGCUCCACCUUCAUGGCUUAAUCACCCUCUAAAGGCCCCACUUCCAAUGCCAUCAUAGUGAAGGUUAGGAUUUCAACAUACAAAUUGGGGGUGCAGGAACAAACACUGAGACCACAGAAGAACGUACAGUUUUUUAAAAGCUUGUGGGUCUGGAAAUGACUUUAUUACACUUCCAAGGGUCUACCUAAAUAUAGAAUUCUAGGUCAAAAAAAUUUUCCCUUCCAAGUUUUAAAGGGAAGACCAGUAUCAUCUCAUUCCCAGUGUUGCUGUUGAGGAGUCCAAAGUCACUCUGAGGAGUCCUUGUCGGUGACCAUUUAUCUCCUAUUUGUUCCUUGUGUUCUAAAACAUCACGUGGUGCCUCAGGGCUCUUGUCGUUGAGAGCUGACUUCAGCCAGUAACUCAUGCCCUUCCCCAGAAUACUCUUACAGUCACCAUCUCUGCCGUGGAGUUCUGUUUCUCUGGCCUCUCUAGAAUGCCUGUUAGAAGUUGAAGCCCUGGAUUGACCUGUGCAUUUGUCCUUCCUUUUGUCUAUCAUGUUGUCUACUAAUUGUGAAACUUAUUCCAUUUUAUCUCCCAACCUAUCACUAAGAUUUUUCAUUUCUCCCAACAUAAUUUCCCAGAGCCCUUUGAUUUGAAUAUAGAAGUAUUUUAUAACACGGUUUUAAAAAUUAAAGGCUAUCCUACCAUCACAUUUGGCUUUUAUCUCACGCACUUUUUCCGUUCUGGGGCACCACAUGCCUGUCUCCUUGGGCUCCUCUCGGCUGUGAGUUUCUCACCUUCCCUGCUUUGCUUGACCUUGACAGUGCUAGGAGUACUGGCGGUAUUUUGUGCAGUGUCCCUCGGCUGGGUUUGUGUGAUGCUUUUCUCGAGGUUAGAAUGGGUUUUUAGGAGGAAGACCACAAGAAAAGAGCCAUUGUCAUCACUUUAACCCCAGGAUACACACUAGCAACAAGUCUGGCCACUCUGCCACCGAGCUUGAUCAUCUCUGAGGCGGUGUGCCAAGUUUCCCUAUGACACAGGUACCCAACCUACUUCUGUACUAUUUUGUUGCUCAGAUAGUUCUCGCUCUGGUUACUGGAGGCUUUCAGUUGCCUUCUGUGUCUGACAUACUCCCAUCAUUGUGUGUGCUUGUGUGGUUUGGGGGUAUUUUUUUUGUUGUUGUUUUUUCCAGUACCGGGGAUCAAACUCAGGACCUUGUGCUUGCGUGGCAGGCGCCGGAACCACUGAGCUAAAUCCCCAGCCCAAUGUGCUUGUGUGU
ensembl:lncRNA